rnacentral:rRNA from 1 species
UACGUAGGGGGCAAGCGUUAUCCGGAUUUACUGGGUGUAAAGGGAGCGUAGACGGCAGGGCGAGUCUGAAGUGAAAGCUCGGGGCUCAACCCCGGAACUGCUUUGGAAACUGUCCGGCUUGAGUACCGGAGGGGUAAGCGGAAUUCCUAGUGUAGCGGUGAAAUGCGUAGAUAUUAGGAGGAACACCAGUGGCGAAGGCGGCUUACUGGACGGUAGCUGACGUUGAGGCUCGAAAGCGUGGGGAGCAAAC